AUGAGCGUUUUACAUCUCAUCAGCUGUAGAAUUACUAGCCAAUCAUCGCUCACUUCAGUGACACAUUGUGUUUUCAUCCCGCCCCUCACACGAGCACACACAUAUCGGUGGAAACCGCCCGGUUAUGCACGUUUGUUUAGUUUAGUGUUGGUUUCUGCAAAUAGGAAAUUAUUCCAUCUUCCUGGCUUGAUGGACAGUUUUAUGUUGCGCGGGGUUUUGUGUGUGUUAGCUGUCUGUGUGUGGAGCUCGGCAGCGCGUGGACGCAGUGAUGUGCUCGAGCUCAAAGACGCAGACUUCGAUUACAUCGCGCCCGAGCACGAGACCUUGCUGGUGAAGUUUUAUGCCCCAUGGUGCGGUCACUGUAAGAAACUUGCUCCGGAGUUUGAAACCGCUGCUACACGCCUGAAGGGAACAGUAACUUUAGCCAAGGUGGACUGCACUGCUAGUACAGAGACCUGCAAGCGCUAUGGGGUCACUGGAUACCCAACACUCAAAAUAUUUCGGAACGGACUGGAAUCAUCUUCAUAUGAUGGGCCACGCUCAGCUGAGGGAAUCGUGAACUAUAUGAAGAAACAGGCCGGACCUGAUUCUGUGCCUCUGCAUAGUGGGCAUGAUCUGGAGAACUUUAUCAACAACUUUGAUGCCAGCAUAGUUGGAUUUUUCUCAGGGACUGACAGUUCUCAACUCUCUGAGUUUCUUAAAGGAGCCAGUUUAAUGAGGGAGAGUUUCCGCUUUGCUCACACCACAGACCUAGAGCUCGGAAAGAAAUAUGAUGUCAAAAAUGAGUCUGUGCUUCUGUUCCGCCCCCCCAGACUGAGCAGUAAGUUUGAGGAGAGUGUGGUUCACCACACAGGACCCCUGUCCAUCACAGGCCUGCGCCGCUUCAUCAGAGACAACAUUUUUGGACUCUGUCCUCACCUGACCAAAGAGAAUAAGGAUUCGUUGAGGAAGAGGGAUUUAUUGACCGCCUACUAUGACUUGGAUUAUCUUCGCAAUCCUAAAGGCUCCAACUACUGGAGAAACAGAGUGCUGAAGGUGGCGUCUAAGUUCAGUUCUCAGGGCCUGUUGUUUUCUGUGGCGAACCGUAAUGACUUUCUGGAGGAGCUGGAGGAUGAGUUCGGUCUGGGUGCAUCGGACUCAACUGAGCUGCCGUUUGUCACCAUCAGGACACGAACAGGAAACAAAUAUACCAUGAGAGAGGAGUUCACACGAGAUGGCAAGUCUUUAGAGAAUUUUCUGGAAGACUAUUUUGCUGGUCGACUGAAGCGUUAUAUCAAAUCAGAGCCUGUGCCUGCCAAAAACAGUGGAGCCGUCAAGGUGGUUGUGGCAGAUACGUUUGAAGAGAUCGUCAAUGACCCAGAGAAAGACGUGCUUAUUGAGUUUUAUGCUCCGUGGUGUGGCCAUUGUAAAAAACUGGAGCCCAAAUAUACAGAGCUUGGAGAACGGCUAUACAGUGACCCCAAUAUUGUAAUCGCCAAGAUGGAUGCAACUGCCAAUGAUAUCCCACAGGGCUAUGACGUGCAAGGAUUUCCUACAAUAUACUUUGCUGCUGCUGGCCGUAAAGAUGAGCCAAAACGAUAUGAGGGAGCCCGUGAAGUGAAGGAUUUCAUCAACUUCCUGAAGCGCGAGGGAUCCAAACCUCUUGUUCUGAAUGGAGUCAAGGAAGAGCUGUAAACAUUAAAGGAGAAAUUGCUGUUUGUUGCAGAACGUUAUUCAGGAAGAGUGAAGAAUCCUGUGGGAUUCUGCUGCAGUUCAGCCAUAUAUAUCACCAUAUCAAAUAAAUUGGCAACAGUCAAUAACAUAAAACCAAUUGUAAUUAUACAGAGAUCCAGGGCCUCAUUUAUAAAAUGUUGUGCAGAAACCAUCCUAAAUUAGAUUUUAUGAUCAUCUCUCAAAUAUGCGUACAUGUGAUUUAUAGAAUGAAUGUACGCACAGAAAAUGAACAUAUGCCUCUCUUUCAGAUGUGAAAUCUAUGAAUCGUAAGUGAUCUUGAACUUGCGCGCAACUGAAUGGUUUCAGCUCUCUGCCUUUUAAACGACUCCUAAUUAAUGUCAUUAACAGCUAGCUGCAAGAACAGCUUACUCUUUCAAAAACCUGCAGUACUUGAAAAAGAAAAAGUGUGUACGUCUGCUCAGACCCUGACGUGGCGCUAAGCAGUUUUCCACGUCAAAGCCAGUUUUUACAAAUAUGAGCGUUGGCAUGGAUUUAAGCGCACACACACUCUAAGAUCAAAUCUGUGCGUACACACUUUAUAAAUGAGGCCCCCAAUAUUUAUAUUGUCCACAUGAUAGAAAAUAGUGCAGAUUGCUGCUUAUGUUGAAGAGUCCUGUUUUGUUGUUUAAUCAUUUUGUUCUUUGUUGCAUGAGCUUCAUUGAUCUGUUCUUUACUGUUUAACUCAAUAUUUCCAUCUGUACAUCCCUGUACAUUAGUUAUCAUUGUUGUUCAACAUACAUUUACAAAAAUACCAAUAUUCAUGCCCUGUAUGGAUGGUAAAACUAAUCUGAUGCCAUGCAGUAGAUGCACAGUAAUUGUUUUCAAGCACAGUUCGUGGUGUAUCAGCAUAAGGAGCCAUUAUCAAUGUUUGCAAUUGCCAUUUCUUGUGCCUGAUUUGCUACUGAAGUGAUCAAAUGGAAAGGCAUCUUUCAACCCAAAAUCUGUUAUGACAUGAGUUGAACAAUUGGUUAUGUAAUGUUUAUUUAUUGACUAUUUAUACAGUUUGGGUGUGAAAUGGAUGCAGUUUAUAUGGUGAAUGUUGUCGUGUCACUUUAGCAUUUUUUCUAUGUAUCUAUGCCUUAAGGGUUUAGUAUGUAGGUAGUUUGUUUGACAUCUAACUGAAGCUCUGUUCAGCAAGAGGUAUUCACUUGAUGAACAGAAAAUGCUGAUUUAUUAAAAGAAUUGAUUUUGGUCAGCUGUUUCUUUUGUGUUUGAAAACUGAAUUUGUUAACCUGCACAAUAUUUUCAAUUUAAUGAAAGUGAAUGAGCACUAAGGCAAGCUCCAAAAUGAACCAUAAAAGGUGCCUAUGAUACUUGAUAUAAAGCAUACUAAUACUACCACAGGAUAUGGAAAAAAGCGAAGACUGUUUGAAAACGAGCAUUCACUGUUAAAGCAUUCCGUGUGCGUGCGCGCGCUCGCGCUCUUUCUUGGGUGGACGCACCUGUUCCUUGUUGGGAGUCAUUGACUAAUCUGAGAGGAGUUAAAAGACGCCAACGAGGAGGAAAAAAAGAAAGACGCCAGCCUUUCUUGUUAGUUGUUGUCCGUUUUGUUAAUUCUUACUUGUUUCACAGGCAGCUGGAUCCAGAUCUCAGCGCAAACAUUCAACAAUGCUCAAGCGAGAAGUCAAGCCAUACUGGACCUUGUCGGUCAAAGUUUUACAUGCGAAGAUCCACCGGUCCUAUGACUACUUGUCUGCGUCUGA